UACGUAGGGUGCAAGCGUUGUCCGGAAUUAUUGGGCGUAAAGAGCUUGUAGGCGGUUUGUCGCGUCUGCUGUGAAAUUUCGGGGCUCAACCCCGAACUUGCAGUGGGUACGGGCAGACUAGAGUGUGGUAGGGGAGACUGGAAUUCCUGGUGUAGCGGUGAAAUGCGCAGAUAUCAGGAGGAACACCCGUAGCGAAGGCGGCACUCUGGGCCGAUUCUGACACUGAGGAGCGAAAGCGUGGGGAGCGAACAGG
rnacentral:rRNA from 1 species